UGCUCUCUGCCCUGCUCGUGAGGCGCGAUGCCCACACGGAAUAUCUUAAGAUAGGGCUCUCUUCAGGUCGGUUGUGAGCAGGCCCGUCAUGGAACGGGAAGCCUGAUGCCGGUACAAGAGGUCCCCCCUUGUUGGUCUUCGAUGUGAGGCCAACUGCCCACGGUAGGAGUGGAGAGCUC
rnacentral:other from 1 species